rnacentral:rRNA from 1 species
AGAGGGUGCGAGCGUUAAUCGGAAUUACUGGGCGUAAAGAGCGCGUAGGUUGAUAUUAAGGUUGGAUGUGAAAUUCCUGGGCUUAACCGAGGCAUGUCAUCCAAAACGUAAUAUCUAGAGUACGGAAGAGGGUAGUGGAAUUUCCGGUGUAGCGGUGAAAUGCGUAGAUAUCGGAAGGAACAUCAGUGGCGAAGGCGGCUACCUGGCCCGAUACUGACACUGAGGCGCGAAAGCGUGGGGAGCGAACAGGGAUUAGAUACCCUGGUAGUCCACGCCGUAAACGAUGAGAACUAGCUGUUGGGUGGCGAGUCCACUCAGUGGCGAAGCAAACGCGUUAAGUUCUCCGCCUGGGGAGUACGACCGCAAGGUUA